rnacentral:rRNA from 1 species
GACGAACGCUGGCGGCGUGCUUAACACAUGCAAGUCGAACGGAAAGGCCCUGCUUUUGUGGGGUGCUCGAGUGGCGAACGGGUGAGUAACACGUGAGUAACCUGCCCUUGACUUUGGGAUAACUCCAGGAAACUGGGGCUAAUACCGCAUAGGAGCUCCUGCUGCAUGGUGGUGGUUGGAAAGUUUCGGCGGUUUGGGAUGGACUCGCGGCUUAUCAGCGUGUUGGUGGGGUAGUGGCUUACCAAGGCUUUGACGGGUAGCCGGCCUGAGAGGGUGAACGGCGACAUUGGGACUGAGAUACGGCCCAGACUCCGACGGGAGGCAGCAGUGGGGAAUAUUGCACAAUGGGCGGAAGCCUGAGGCAGCAACGCCGCGUGCGGGAUGACGGCCUUCGGGUUGUAAACCGCUUUCGCCUGUGACGAAGCGGGAGUGACGGUAAUGGGUAAAGAAGCACCGGCUAACUACGUG